GGGGGAGUAGAGUUAUAGGGCGGAUUGUGUAUGAGUCCUAAUCGAGUACGCUUUACAGAGUCCUAUUCUAACUCGGUUAAAGUAGCUUCCUUCUGACCCGACUAGUCUUCGGGGAGCACAUGAAGUCUACGCGCCCUGCGGAGUAGUCUUCAUGUCCGAGUAGGUUUCGGGUACGUUCCUUUGAGUGGGUCCAUAAGUCUUCUGGUGGGCCUAGGGGUGCCUAGCCAAUAAGCCCCCGAGUACUUUGUAGUCGAGAGAAACAGCCCUGAGUACUUGAAGAUGUCGUCCGAGUUCCUCCUGGUGCUCAUUGAGUACUUCUCGA
rnacentral:lncRNA from 1 species